rnacentral:rRNA from 1 species
UACGUAGGGUGCGAGCGUUGUCCGGAAUUAUUGGGCGUAAAGGGCUCGUAGGCGGUUUGUCGCGUCGGGAGUGAAAUCCACUGGCUUAACUGGUGGCUUGCUUUCGAUACGGGCAGACUGGAGGUAUGCAGGGGAGAACGGAAUUCCUGGUGUAGCGGUGAAAUGCGCAGAUAUCAGGAGGAACACCAGUGGCGAAGGCGACUACCUGGCCUGUUCUUGACGCUGAGGCGCGAAAGCUAGGGGAGCAAACGGG